rnacentral:rRNA from 1 species
UGCAAGUCGUGCGCGUGAAGCGGACAACGCCCUUCGGGGCGUGCGUUUGUGGAUCGAGCGGCGGACGGGUGCGUAACACGUGGGCAACCUGCCGGCAAGACCGGGAUAACGCCGGGAAACCGGCGCUAAUACCGGAUGAAGCCGGCCAUCGCCUGAUGGCCGGACCAAAGGCGGCUCAUGGAGCUGUCACUUGCCGAGGGGCCCGCGGCGCAUUAGUUAGUUGGUGGGGUAACGGCUCACCAAGGCGACGAUGCGUAGCCGACCUGAGAGGGUGAUCGGCCACACUGGGACUGAGACACGGCCCAGACUCCUACGGGAGGCAGCAGUAGGGAAUCUUCCGCAAUGGACGCAAGUCUGACGGAGCAAUGCCGCGUGAGUGAUGAAGGUUUUCGGAUCGUAAAGCUCUGUUGUCAGGGAAGAACCGGUUUCGCUCUAACAGGGCGAAGCCCUGACGGUACCUGACCAGAAAGCCCCGGCUAACUACGUGCCAGCAGCCGCGGUAAUACGUAGGGGGCAAGCGUUGUCCGGAAUUAUUGGGCGUAAAGCGCACGCAGGCGGUCCUUUAAGUCUGAUGUGAAAUCUUGUGGCUCAACCACAAGCUGCCAUUGGAAACUGGGGGACUUGAGUACAGAAGAGGAGAGUGGAAUUCCACGUGUAGCGGUGAAAUGCGUAGAGAUGUGGAGGAACACCAGUGGCGAAGGCGACUCUCUGGUCUGUAACUGACGCUGAGGUGCGAAAGCGUGGGUAGCAAACAGGAUUAGAUACCCUGGUAGUCCACGCCGUAAACGAUGAGUGCUAGGUGUCAAGGGGUUUCCGCCCCCUGGUGCUGAAGUUAACGCAUUAAGCACUCCGCCUGGGGAUUACGGCCGCAAGGCUGAAACUCAAAAGAAUUGACGGGGGCCCGCACAAGCGGUGGAGCAUGU